rnacentral:rRNA from 1 species
AUUGAACUCUGGCGGCAGGCCUAACACAUGCAAGUCGAACGAGUGGCGGACGGGUGUGUAAUGUCUGGGAAACUGCCUGCUGGAGGGGGAUAACUAAUGGAAACGGUAGCUAAUACCGCAUACCAUCAGAUGUGCCCAGAUGGGCUUAGCUUGUUGGUGGGGUAACGGCUCACCAAGGCCACGAUCCCUAGCUGGGAUGAGAGGAUGACCAGCCACCCGGGAACAGGGACGCGGUCCAGACUCCAACGGGAGGCAGCAGUGGGGAAGAGUGCACAAUGGGCGCAAGCCUGAUGCAGCCAUGCCGCGUGGAUGAAGAAGGCCUUCGGGUUGUAGAGUACUUUCAGCGGGGAGGCGUUACCAACAGAAUAAGCACCGGCUAACUUCGUGCCAGCAGCCGCGGUAAUAC